UCGGGAAUUUUGGGCAAUGGCCGAUAGGGUAGACCCAGCAACGCCGCGUGAGUGAAGAAGGCCUUCGGGUUGUAAAGCUCUGUUGCUCGUGAAGAACGGUACUCUCAGGAAAUGGGGAGUACUUGACGGUAGCGAGUGAGGAAGCCCCGGCUAACUACGUG
rnacentral:rRNA from 1 species